UACGUAGGUGGCAAGCGUUGUCCGGAUUUACUGGGCGUAAAGCGUGCGCAGGCGGCUCCUUAAGUCAGAUGUGAAAUCCCCGGGCUUAACCUGGGAACUGCGUUUGAAACUGGGGAGCUUGAGUGUGGAAGAGGGGGGUGGAAUUCCAGGUGUAGCAGUGAAAUGCGUAGAGAUCUGGAGGAACACCGAUGGCGAAGGCAGCCCCCUGGGCUAACACUGACGCUCAUGCACGAAAGCGUGGGGAGCAAACAGG
rnacentral:rRNA from 1 species